AACGAACGCUGGCAGCGUGGAUUAGGCAUGCAAGUCGAACGUGAUCCGGAAUGUAGCAAUACAGUACGGUGAAAGUGGCGCAAGGGUGAGUAACGCGUGGGUAAUCUACCUCUAAGUUGGGGAUAACCUUCCGAAAGGAGGGCUAACACCGAAUGUGGUCACUCCGCAUAUGCGGGGAGGAUCAAAGACGGGGAUCUUUCGGGACCUGUCGCUUGGAGAGGAGCCUGCGUGCCAUCAGCUAGUUGGUAGGGUAAUGGCCUACCAAGGCUUACGGCUAGCUGGUCUGAGAGGAUGACCAGCCACACUGGGACUGAGACACUGCCCAGACUCCUACGGGAGGCUGCAGUCGAGGAUCUUGGACAAUGCGCGAAAGCGUGAUCCAGCGACGCUGCGUGGAGGAUGGAA
rnacentral:rRNA from 1 species